rnacentral:misc_RNA from 1 species
CAUAAGCCAUUUUGUGCAUUGUUCAAGCAGCUGUGUAAAAGUAUUGCUUAUCAUUCCGUUUUGAGAUGUCAAAACUUGGUUGAUUAUUAUUGUCGAAUAUUAUCUUUGACGCGAACAUAUGAUUGUCAUAAGGCGACAAUUUUGAAGUAUCAUCACACACGUAGUUAAAAAAUCAUAUACAGAUUUUGUGUAACAAAGAACUUUCCAAUAUCUUUUAUUAACCUUGGCCUGGUCGUCAUAACAAUUAUGAUUGAGUAAAAAUGGGAGC